CAUGUGCAAAUGCUUUCUACAGG
rnacentral:siRNA from 1 species